GUAAUUUGGUACUGAAAUGACAGCUGUAACGAGGAUGCAGAAUUUCACAUGGCUUCUCCAUCUACUGUUUUUUAUUUCUAGCAAGUCUUACCCUUAAUUUUUAGUAAUUAUGAAACCACAUUUGCAGUUAAUCAUUAUUACAUUCAGUUUCCUUUACAAUUUUUGAGUGUUUUUACAGUUAAUUUCAAAGAGGAUAUUAAUAUCACACUACAAAAUUACCUCUUCUUUCUCAUAUGACACAUUCUGCACAUAGACAUCAAUUCUAGCCUCACCCAGAACCCCAAACACAACCAGGGGUAUAAAAGCAAGUACUGCAUUGUUCUAAACAAAAACACAGAGAAAACCAGCAUCAAACGUUUAUGAACCAUUAAAGUCUUUUUGUUUAGAAAAAGAACAGGAUUAAUUAAUUGUCCUAUGCUUUCUAACAAAUCUACAAUGGCAGGUGUUUCAAAGGGUGAAAUUUGCACUGUUGGAGAUAUUUACGUAUUAACAGUGAAUGUAAGUGAGUUUGCACCGGAAGAAGUUAUAGUAACCUCAACCAGUAAUGCAAUACAAGUCUUUGCAGAAAAGUUGGCAUCAGAUGGCACAGUUUUGGACGUCAUUCGACAGAAGUACCAAUUUCCAGCUGAUGUGGAUCCAAUGUCAGUUACAUCGUUUCUAGGGAAAGGUGGAUUGUUGAUGAUUAAAGCUCAAAAACACACAACAAAAAACUUGUGAAUUAUGGAUUGAAACAAAGAUGUGAAACCUGUUGCUUGGAUGCUUAUUAUUUUAGAAAGGGUACUGUUUUCUUUGGUUUAUUGAACAAAAUGUUUUAUACUUUAGCACAGAUUUUUAUUUUUGACUUUCUGAAUAUAUACACAUAAAUCUGUGACUAUCCUGAAAUUACAAGCACAUUCAUUUAUUGAGAUGUCAUUUUUAUUUUUGGUCACUGUUUAAAAUAUUUGCACUUAACACUACUAAAAUGUCUAAUAAACAUGUAAAAAC